GGCUCAGUAACACGUGGAUAAUCUGCCCUUAGGUCGGGGAUAACUUCUGGAAACUGAAGCUAAAACCUGAUAUGGAAAUUCUACUGGAAUGUGUUUUUCCGCAAACUCGUGCCUAAGGAUGAGUCGGCGGUCGAUUAGGUUGUUGGUGAGGUAAUGGCUCACCAAGCCUAUGAUCGAUAGGGGCCUUGAGAGAGGUAACCCCGAGAAGGGCACUGAGAUACUUGCCCUAGCCCUACGGGGUGCAGCAGGCGCGGAACCUUUUACAAUGCACGAAAGUGUGAUAAGGGAAUCCCAAGUGCUUUACUUUUAGUAAGGCUUUUGCCAUGCGUAAAUAGCAUGGCGAAUAAGUGGUGGGUAAGACUUGUGCCAGCCGCCGCGGUAACCCCAGCGCCACAAGUGGGAACCACGUUUAUUGGGUCUAAAGCAUCCGUAGCCGGCAUGUUAAAUGCCCUGUGAAAUCGUUCUGCCCAACAGAACGGCGUGCAGGGUAGACUGGCAAGCUAGGAACCAGGAAAGGUAAGCGGUAUUCUGUGGGGAGCGGUAAAAUGCUAUAAUCCACAGAGGACCACCGAUGGCGAAGGCAGCUUACUUGAAUGGAUUCGACGGUGAAGGGAUGAAAGCUAGGGGAGCGAUCCGGAUUAGAUACCCGAGUAGUCCUAGCAGUAAACGCUGCGUGCCAGAUGUUGCACAAUCUUCGCGAUUGUGCAGUGUCGUAACGAAGGUGUUAAGCACGCCACCUGGGAAUUACGGUCGCAAGGCUGAAACUUAAAGGAAUUGACGG
rnacentral:rRNA from 1 species